UGGAUUUUGCCAAACCCUAGAAGGACGAUUCCCAGGAGGAGAACUUUUCGGAGCACCAUCUUUGCGCCUCCUCGGCGACUGACUUGCUGACGUUGGCCACUUUCCAAUGAAUGAGCUGUAAGUCCAACGAGCCGAGCGAGUACUUCCUGGGUGAUUAGACAAGCAAUUAGUCACGUUUCCGAUGGUAAUUCUGCCAAACACCUGCACAAACUAUGAACGUCAGCUCACACAACGACCGACUUUUAUGGACAGUGGUGAUUCCAUCGGGUGGAGGUAUCUACAACGGACCAACGUGAAAUUCCGCUCCAGGCCGAAUUAAUAUCUGCAUAUCCCUGUCAAUAGGGUUCUAAUUGACAUUGGACGUAUCGGCUGGCCGAUAAUCGGACGUUGCACGCUUCGACUAAUUGCUUUCAUUUGAAUAGCAUUAGAACCUAUUCUCUCGAUGACAUGGAUUCUGAGAGAGCUGGAGGUUAUUUAAAAAUUUCGUAUGAAAAAAAAAUCCAUACGCUAAUUGUACGAAUUUGUAUCUCGAUCUGUAGAUUAAAGUCUCUUGUAUUCUU